AAGGUUUUAAGUUAAACAAACUAAUAGCCUUCAAAGCUAUAAAUAUAAGAAAUCUCUUUUAAGCCUUA
rnacentral:tRNA from 1 species